UUCACGUAACACGCAGAGUGAUGACAUCUCGGYAUUCUCAUUCGGUCAUUUCUUCUGAGAACUAUUUUUAGCGAGAAGAAUAGCUAAACAACAGCUUUAUGAAUUGACCAAGCACUUUCCCAACUGGUGUGGAGGUUUCCCCUACAAGGAAAAGUCCAGUUCCACAUGAUGCAGGUAGAACGUACAAUAUCCCAUUGUGCAUCUGGCUCCGUCAGACCCACCCCCAGAGCCGUCUGCGGUGCAACGCGUCCCUCUGUCKCCAUGGUGAUCGACCCCAGGUGCCCCUAUGUGGAGGUCAGUGGACAGGUACUCCUGUGCUGCCUUACCAACUGGAAGAGCGUAAAUCAACGACAGUGAUCCAACGUGGUUUUGUUGACUUAUUUGUUUUGAUAGUGCUUGGUGAAUGCUCUGUAUAUGUGUUGUUUAUUAUUAUAAGAAGAUAAGUUAUAGAUUAGUGGUUACAAAAUAAAGAGAGAUUGUGUGUGUCGCUCAUAAGUGUUUUCAAAUGUGUACUUUAUGUGUGUGAGCCUGAAUGGGUUGAAUGGAGUGGCAUUGAAGAGGGAUAGUACUGUAGUACCAUCAUGAAGAUACUCUCCUAGUUUGUUAGAAAAGUGUCUACCUUUUGAUUGUCAGGCGCUGGCCAACUUGUCACUGCUCGUCAAAUUAGGUCUGCAUUUCCAAAAGAAAAUGUCCCUCUUUGCCACGUAUCCAAUCAGAGCUCAGAACACUACAGUGCACAUGCAGUGUCUUUAGACCCUGGCAGAUAAAUUAAGGGAGCUCAGUCCUUGUUAUAAUAGAAAUAUACAUACUGUACGUCGUUAAAAAAAAGUAAUACUUCUGUCUCAAUUUCUGAAGAUCAGCACAGUCGAAUGAAAUGUGGAUGAGGAGAAGGUCAGGCUGCUGUAUCAGUUUUUGAAUUGUAAUAUUGUAUCAUUUUCAGUUGAGUGACCCUUCACGCUUUGAGUUUGUGUUUCUCUGUGUGUCUCCCUCGUAGCUGGCUUCAACCAAGCAGCCCCAAAAGCCAGACACACCUCAAUGUCCACCGCACCACUUGCUAGAGAAAUAUCUGAGCGUUCUCCAAUUUUCUCUACCGUAUCUUUAGAAGUGCAUUCCCUAACAUUCUCUGCUUUUUAAGGGGAAUGUGAAAGGGAGCGUUCACUCCAAAAUCAAAGUUU